CAGCCCCCCGAGUGGUAGGGAUGUUUAUUUGGCCUAAAGCGUCCGUAGCCGGCUAAGUAAAUUUCUCGUUAAAUCCAACGUCCUAAGCGUUGGGUUGCGAGAAAGACUGCUAAGCUAGAGGGUGGGAGAGGUCAGCGGUAUUCCUGGGGUAGGGGCGAAAUCCUUUGAACCCAGGAGGACCACCAGUGGCGAAGGCUGCUGACUAGAACACGCCUGACGGUGAGGGACGAAAGCUGGGGUAGCGAAUCGGAUUAGAUACCCGCGUAGUCC
rnacentral:rRNA from 1 species